rnacentral:rRNA from 1 species
UAUUGGUCAAUGGGCGCGAGCCUGAACCAGCCAAGUAGCGUGGAGGAUGACGGCCCUAUGGGNUGUAAACUUCUUUUAUAUGGGANNCANNNUNGGUAUGUAUACCAUUUUGUAUGUACCAUAUGAAUAANNNUNGNCUAACUCCGUGCCAGCAGCCGCGGUAAUACGGAGUAUCCGAGCGUUAUCCGGAUUUAUUGGGUUUAAAGGGAGCGUAGGUGGAUUGUUAAGUCAGUUGUGAAAGUUUGCGGCUCAACCGUAAAAUUGCAGUUGAUACUGGCAUCCUUGAGUACAGUAGAGGUAGGCGGAAUUCGUGGUGUAGCGGUGAAAUGCUUAGAUAUCACGAAGAACUCCGAUUGCGAAGGCAGCCUGCUGGACUGUAACUGACGCUGAUGCUCGAAAGUGUGGGUAUCAA